UACGGAGGGUGCAAGCGUUGUCCGGAUUUAUUGGGUUUAAAGGGUGCGUAGGCGGAUUUCCAAGUCAGAGGGGAAAGCCCGGGGCUCAACUCCGGAAUUGCCUUUGAUACUGGUUGUCUUGAAUAUAGUUGAGGUAGGCGGAAAGAGUCGUGUAGCGGUGAAAUGCAUAGAUAUGACUCAGAACACCGAUUGCGAAGGCAGCUUACUAAACUAUUAUUGACGCUGAGGCACGAAAGCGUGGGGAGCAAACAGG
rnacentral:misc_RNA from 1 species